rnacentral:rRNA from 2 species
GCUCACCAAGGCGACGAUGCGUAGCCGACCUGAGAGGGUGAUCGGCCACACUGGGACUGAGACACGGCCCAGACUCCUACGGGAGGCAGCAGUAGGGAAUCUUCCGCAAUGGACGAAAGUCUGACGGAGCAACGCCGCGUGAGUGAUGAAGGUUUUCGGAUCGUAAAGCUCUGUUGUUAGGGAAGAACAAGUGCGAGAGUAACUGCUCGCACCUUGACGGUACCUAACCAGAAAGCCACGGCUAACUACGUGCCAGCAGCCGCGGUAAUACGUAGGUGGCAAGCGUUGUCCGGAAUUAUUGGGCGUAAAGGGCUCGCAGGCGGUUUCUUAAGUCUGAUGUGAAAGCCCCCGGCUCAACCGGGGAGGGUCAUUGGAAACUGGGAAACUUGAGUGCAGAAGAGGAGAGUGGAAUUCCACGUGUAGCGGUGAAAUGCGUAGAGAUGUGGAGGAACACCAGUGGCGAAGGCGACUCUCUGGUCUGUAACUGACGCUGAGGAGCGAAAGCGUGGGGAGCGAACAGGAUUAGAUACCCUGGUAGUCCACGCCGUAAACGAUGAGUGCUAAGUGUUAGGGGGUUUCCGCCCCUUAGUGCUGCAGCUAACGCAUUAAGCACUCCGCCUGGGGAGU